GUGAUCCUGCCCUAGCUGAAUACUAAUGCUGGCCUGUCCUCUGAAAAAAUCUUGAGGGGGAGCAAGUCUUCUGGGUUUAAUUUCCGCAGGGUGAAGAUAUAAACCUGAAUCUGCCUUUCCUAAAUAUCUGUCUUUAAGGACCACCUAGUGGAGAAACAUAAUACAGCAGUUUUAGCAUGACUACGGAUCCUCAGUACCCCUCCCCCACUAUCAUCACAGCACCAGCAACAAUGACACCUAGUGGGCAAAUGUAAUAUAGUAAUACUUUAAAUUCGGCAGAUACAGAUUUCCUUUCAAUGAAUGGCAACAUACCUGUUAACUGUGGUUAUUGGUAUACUUGCUUCUGUCCAGAAAAGAUUCCCAAUGUGUAAAACGUCUGGUUAAAUGCAUUGCCACUGUCAUCUUUAAUUCACAAUUCAAACUGCAUCCUUCAGUUCUGAAUCUUUUAUAAAAACACAAGAUUUUAUAGUGCUUUGUGAAAUUCCCAGUUUUGUAUCUUGGAAUGCAAAUGAUUCUGAACUAAACAUAAGGAUGCCACCCUCUUUGAUACAGAUUUUAAGAUGUCUAAAACAAAAACGGUAAUUGCCAGUGGUUAAGAAAAAUGGCUACAGGUCCAAUCCUACAAACAGGCUCCUGUUUAAGGUGAAGCAGGUAAGCAACUGCAUUAUCUUAAAAUGAAGAAGUAUACAGUUUAUAGGAUCAGGGU